rnacentral:rRNA from 1 species
UACGGAGGGUGCGAGCGUUGUCCGGAAUCAUUGGGCGUAAAGGGCGCGUAGGUGGCCCGCUCAGCGUGCGGUGAAAGCUCGGGGCUCAACCCCGAGUCGGCCGUGCGAACUGGUGGGCUGGAGCACUGUAGAGGCAGGCGGAAUUCCGGGUGUAGCGGUGGAAUGCGUAGAGAUCCGGAAGAACACCGGUGGCGAAGGCGGCCUGCUGGGCAGUGCUGGACACUGAGGCGCGACAGCGUGGGGAGCAAACAGG